GACGAACGCUGGCGGCGUGCCUAAUACAUGCAAGUAGAACGCUGAAGGAGGAGCUUGCUUCUCCGGAUGAGUUGCGAACGGGUGAGUAACGCGUAGGUAACCUGCCUGGUAGCGGGGGAUAACUAUUGGAAACGAUAGCUAAUACCGCAUAACAGUAGAUAUUGCAUGAUAUCUGCUUGAAAGGUGCAAUUGCAUCACUACCAGAUGGACCUGCGUUGUAUUAGCUAGUUGGUGGGGUAACGGCUCACCAAGGCGACGAUACAUAGCCGACCUGAGAGGGGUGAUCGGCCACACUGGGACUGAGACACGGCCCAGACUCCUACGGGAGGCAGCAGUAGGGAAUCUUCGGCAAUGGACGGAAGUCUGACCGAGCAACGCCGCGUGAGUGAAGAAGGUUUUCGGAUCGUAAAGCUCUGUUGUAAGAGAAGAACGAGUGUGAGAGUGGAAAGUUCACACUGUGACGGUAUCUUACCAGAAAGGGACGGCUAACUACGUGCCAGCAGCCGCGGUAAUACGUAGGUCCCGAGCGUUGUCCGGAUUUAUUGGGCGUAAAGCGAGCGCAGGCGGUUAGAUAAGUCUGAAGUUAAAGGCUGUGGCUUAACCAUAGUACGCUUUGGAAACUGUUUAACUUGAGUGCAAGAGGGGAGAGUGGAAUUCCAUGUGUAGCGGUGAAAUGCGUAGAUAUAUGGAGGAACACCGGUGGCGAAAGCGGCUCUCUGGCUUGUAACUGACGCUGAGGCUCGAAAGCGUGGGGAGCAAACAGG
rnacentral:rRNA from 1 species